GUCCAUCUGAUCAGUCUCAAACAGGAGGAAACACGCGUCAUGGAU
rfam:Schistosoma mattheei strain Denwood, Zambia genome assembly, scaffold: SMTD_scaffold0000065